UUCAUCAGGUACGUCUUAGAUCCUAUCUUUGACACGUAAAUAAAUUUUAAACAUGAGAAAAUCUACCUAGGAUUGUUAUUAUCUUCCGCUGCGUGUUAUAAACACCCAUACGCAAUUCUACAUAUAGACCUAAAAAAAGUGGUAUUAUUAUCAAGUCUUCUUGAAGUUACAUGCAUAUGGGAAGUGUUUAUUUAUAAGGAGGGAACUAGGAAUGAAUAUUUGGGAGAAUUCAGAAGAAUUGUCCUUUCCAUGUACAGACCAUAUACCUAAAAAAUAAUCACAAAACACUACUUGUGGUUGAAUCUAAGGAAUAAAAUUUAGGAAGUUUCUUGGAAAAAGGGGUUGUAAAUGAGCAUAAGCAGACCAUUUAGAUUUAAUCCAGAAAAAACAGUGGCUUCUGUGUUUUUUCCUUAGAUAACAAAAGAUAUGUUCAUCCUUGACUUAUUUAUAUAUUAAAUAAAUUAACUAUCUAGAUAUUUCCUUUGUCUUUAUCAACUAAUUCAAUAAUACUUCUUAGACUAUAAUAGGACAAUAACAGUUUUUUUAAUUAUUUUUUGGUUCAAGUAACUAUUGAUCGGUAUGCACCCUGAGCAAUCUAGAUUCACUUCAAAUUAAAGUUCAUUAAUAAGUUAACAUAUUAAGAUUUAAGAUUUAAGUGCAAUUGACAUCAUUAUAGAAAAUUGGAUUGACAUUAUUUGUUAAGGGGCUUGCCAUAAACAUUCAUUCAGCUCUAUCCCUUUUUAUAUGUAGGUAUUUGACUCAAUACAUAAUUUAAUAACCAUAUGAAGAGUGUUUGAUAUGACAAAAGUUCUUCUAAUUUUUUGUGGUGUUUAGCUGGUGAGUGAAAGAUAUCUUUGAGAUAGAGGUAUUUAUCAAAUAUAUUGAUAAUAAUGUUAGAUUGUUGUGAUGAAACUAAGUUAAAAUUAAAUAGUUGAGAAGAACAAUGACUUUUGCCCAUAAAACGGGAAAGCAUUUCUCCUUUUUUUUUUUGGUAGAAAAGCAAUUUUUUGAAAUAUAUUUUCUACGUACAACACCAAAAGAUGAUUUAUUGUUUAGACAACAUUUUCCGAAAUAAUAUCUUCUGUCAAGCCAAAGAUAGCCAAGAAAAUUAUGCAAAGUGCUGAAAUUCUUCUAACUACAACAAUUAAAUGAGAGAUGAUAAUAUUUUCACAUAUGUCCCUUUUAACUCUCUCACCUAAUAAAAGAGUCAGCUUAUAACUGUUAUUGCAACAAGUUGAGGUUAGGCUAAAAAUUCGUGUUUUUUGCAUGUAUUCUGUCUAGUAUUAUGCCUCGAUCUUGUUAACUUUGGCAUGAAUAUUUGUAACUUGAGCUUAAUAAUAGUAUAAUUUUUUUGGAAACAUGAUACUUGAUAGCCCCUCUAAAAAUAAUAACCAAAAAUAUAAAAUUUGUAUAUUUUUGUAUAUAAAUAUAUAAUACAUUCUGUAUGUUAUAUACAAAAAUUAUAUAAAUUACGCUUCAGCUACUAAAUGUAAAUAGUUUCUGGCACGGGCUAAAAGCAAUUUCCCCAUUUGUUUAUGUGGGAGUCAAUUGGAAGUGAUUUGGAAAACUUCCCUGCAAAUUAAAGUCAAAAUGGAAGAAUUUGGAGGAAGUAUGACUUUGAUGCCCAGGUUCGUGCCAGACACCAACCAACACCAAGGGCAGCUGGGCACAAAAGCGGAAAAAGUUUGGUGUCCGGGUUCAUGCUAAGCGCAAAGCGGGACGCCCAAGGGCGGAUUCGUCCUAAUUCGGCUAGGACUUGGUUGUUUCAAUCCUACACACCCGCAUCAUGUAUAAAGGGGUUCUAAACCUAUUUCUUAUUGGAGAGACAUUAUUGGAGAGGCAAAAGGCUAUUGGAACACUUGGAAGUAACGAAUUACAAAAGUUUUUUCUCCGUUCUUCCUUAAUCUAUAGCUUAAUGUUUUCAAUUAUUAUUAUGAUUGUUAGUAUUAUAAGUAGCUAAUUUCUUUUAUCUAAGGUUUGAUGUAACCUUUUGAAGA
rnacentral:lncRNA from 1 species